CGAACGGGUGAGUAACACGUGAGGAACCUGCCCUAGACUCUGGGAUAACAGCGGGAAACCGCUGCUAAUACCGGAUACUCCAUUUCCUUCGCAUGGAAGAAAUGGGAAAGAAUUUCGGUCUGGGAUGGUCUCGCGGCCUAUCAGCUAGUUGGUGGGGUAACGGCCUACCAAGGCUAUGACGGGUAGCUGGCGUGAGAGCGUGGCCAGCCACACUGGGACUGGGACACGGCCCAG
rnacentral:rRNA from 1 species